rnacentral:misc_RNA from 1 species
AAAAAAAAAACAAACAGCAGAAUAGUAAAAUUGCUUAGUGGCAAGAUUUUUUUAAAGCCAUGGCUGCAGCAGCAACAGAGGGCAAAUGGAUCAAGCUGGAGGAAAAAGGCGCCGGACCUGGGGCAAGAAGCUCACAUGCCAUCACCAUUGUGGGACAUAAGGUCUAUUCCUUCGGGGGUGAGUUCACACCUCGUGUCCCUGUUGACAACAAAUUGUACGUGUUUGAUCUCAAUAGCCAAGAAUGGUCUGUGGCUGAUGCUGCUGGGGAUGUCCCUCCCCCUCGUGUAGGUGUCACUAUGGCCACUGUAGGGGAGACUGUCUUCAUCUUUGGUGGCAGAGAUGCCGAACAUAAGGAGCUUAACGAGCUUUAUUCUUUUGACACAACUACCAACAAAUGGACCUUAUUGUCUAGUGGUGAUGACGAUGACCCUCCUCAUCGGAGCUACCACUCGAUGACUGCUGAUGAUCGGAGGAUCUAUGUCUUUGGUGGUUGUGGAAAUGCUGGAAGGUUAAAUGAUCUUUGGGGUUACGACGUUGUUGAUAAGAAAUGGAUCAAAUAUCCUGUACCAGGGGAAAAUUGUAAACCAAGAGGUGGACCUGGUUUGACAGUGGUCCUAGGAAAAAUAUGGGUUGUCUAUGGAUUUUCCGGUGAUGAGCUUGAUGAUGUACAUUACUUUGAUACAAUUGAAGAAAAGUGGAUGCAAGUUGAGACAAAUGGUGAAAAACCUACUGCUAGGAGUGUAUUUUCAACAGUUGGGAUUGGGAAAUUCAUUUUUAUCUAUGGUGGUGAAACAGACCCUAGUGACUUAGGUCAUUUAGGUGCUGGGAAAUUUGCGGGUGAUGUCUAUGCACUUGAUACAGAGACACUAGUUUGGAAGCGGUGGAUGGAUUCCGGUGACCAUCCAGGGCCACGAGGGUGGUGCGCCUUUGCUAGUGGACAGCGAGAUGGCCAAGAGGGGCUGCUGGUUUAUGGUGGCAAUACACCAUGCAAUGAUAGGCUUGGUGACAUUUUCUUUUUCACUCCCCUGGUGGAGAUUUGAGUGCUGGAAAUGACAUGUUUUCAAUGUUGUAAGAAAAAACAAUCUUCAAGUUUGAAUUUGAGUUUUUAGCCUUGUGUUGGAUAAUGGGGGAAAAUAUCUUCAGUACUGUUUAUUGAUGUUCUUAUAAAGGUUUGUUCAAUUUGUUAAACCAGGGUGUAUG